CUUGCUAUGGUAACAAACUUGAGCGUAGUGCAGCCGUUUCGUUUGUCACCCUUUGUAGCUGUUGUGUAGCGUCUGGUUGGUGUAAAUAGUUAGAAAGCGUUACUUGUGGCAUGCUCAAGAAAGCGAUCGUUCAGUGUCGCCGUUAUUGUGUAGGAGCACGCUGUGUGUUGCGACGAUGCUCCACUAAAGAAUACCCUUGUCUGCCACCGGUGGAGGUUCUCCAAGUGCGAAAGUUUCAGCGCCAACCAAUAAGAUCAGCUGGGCUGUGCAAGUUAUCCCUGCGACCAUGUCGUUCAGACUUACCACCGCAUAAAGAAAACGACACAUUUUUUUUUUCUUUAUUCUAUUCACAUAGUGCAUGAAUGUCUACAUUAUAAUGUUAGUGCGCACUAUUUUGACGACCAGUGUGAAUUGCUCUUUGUCAAGCUCUUGUUUAUUUUCAUGAUACUAGGCGUAAAUAUAUGUGUCUGUCUUCGUAAUUACAUAUCGUGAAAAUGCCCUGUUUUACUUUGUUACACAACGAAAGAAGUUCUACAUUUUACAUGAACACUGCACGUUAUCAGUACAUGGUGUAGCACCUGUAUUGUGCCAGUACUUCUGCAUUUGACAUGUUGCAAUAGCUGCAGUCUUAAUAUUGUUACCUGAAGGACGUGACUGCUCUCUCAAUACACAGGCCCAUACAGAUUGAUUCAUGCAUUGACUCCCAUAACAUAUGAAAUUGCUCCUGUCGCCUCAUCAUCUUCAUCCUCCCUUAAAGUCAGCAAUAUCGUACACAUCUCACGCUUGAAGCCGUACCACUCCUCCAAUGACAUUGACGUUUAGACACGCCAUACAUCUGCUGCUGGGAAUUAUGCAGCAUGCAUAUUGCCAGUCUUUGGAACCAUGCGCAUGUGGGCCCGACGAAGAGAACAAGCUCUCUUUGCUCCGGUUCUAAGCUGAAGCGGUUAGCACUGCAACUGCUGCUGCAAAUAUAUUUUUAACAUCGCAUACUGAGCAAGUGCCUCAUCAUUCACGGAACCAUACGAAAAUUUAGAUUGACCUGUCAUUUCACAGAAAAAUUCGGCAAAUUCAGAAAUUACUACGACUUCAUUGUCGCACUCAUACCGACUCAAACUGCACUUAUGUUUGUCUUGUGUGUGUGUGUAUGUCAAUAAGUUCCAAAAGUUCGAUAUUGGUACAAGCAUCGACAUAUAUGCUUGUUUUGCAAGAUCUGAUAGUUUUAUGAAAAAUUGAGCUAGUCACUUUACAUCAUUAUGCAUCAAGAGAAGAACGUUUAAAGCCAACAGUGAGGCGAAGAAUAUAGUAUAUGAAUGCAAACACAGACUGUCGCUUACCUUUAACUUUCUGUUAAACUACAUUGUUAGCUUGCAUCAGGAAUUGGAAACUACUUGCCCAGUUUUCUAUUCAGUCAGAGAUUGUGUUGCAUUACUUAAUUUUUUGCCUUCAUUUCAGUGUUUGUCAUAGUCUACGCAUCAGUGCUUGUUCACUCAGCUUUCUGUCAAGUCAGUGCUUGCUUUGAAUUGCUCUCCUUUGACUCAUCCUUGACGUGUUAUUGGUUUUAACCAAGAAAGAGUACCAACAUUGCCUGCUUUCUGUCUUUUUAAAAGAUUAAUAUGUCAAAAUUUAUACCGAACUUUCACAGGCACAAGUUACAUUGGGAAACCACGAAAUUUUAUUUAUCUUCACAUCCCCAUGGUCUUUUACAACAUUUCAUACUUGUGUUACUGCUUCCUAGGUCUGAGUUGGCUCUUAAUAUUUCUCCGAAAUUGUCUGUUGUUUCUUUUGUACUCCCUUACAGGGAUGUGCUUUCUUAUGAUUGUUUGUAAUGCUUGGUGCUAAAACUGUUUGUAACUUCUUGUUACAAAACACUUCACAUUGGUUUUGUGUCAUUUGUAAUUUGGAACUAAAUCAGAACUUUGAAAUGGCCUACCUACCCCACAAAAAAAAAAACGGUCACAUUUUCUAGAUAUAACUAGACAUGUCCAUUUGCUAAUCAGAAAAUGUAGUGUUUUCCGUACGCAAUACUUCGAACAACUACUUGAAUUCCAGAGGUCGAAGACAUGCAGCACUUCAGCAACAAAGAUUUGUUUGUUGCUCAGACUUCACAAAACAUUCGGUUCAACAUUUAAUUUUGAGGCAUGUGCAGAUGUAUACCAAGCUCGAGCUGUACCAACACUGCAUAUCACUUUUUUGUGUUUGUUUCUGUUUUCUUUUUUUUCAACUUUUGGGUGCCACCUGUGUCAUUGUUCCACCAAAUACUCAUUAUUUCUAACAGUGCAGUGCACCAAAACCUGGUAAUGCAUAAUGCCUAACUUGCUGUCAAAAAUUUUUUUGAAUAACUUGUAAUGCAAUCAAUCUCUUACAUAUGUAUCACUGCAGGAGUAAUCAGUAAUGUUGCACAAUAAAGAAAGCUACUUAUUGCUCAACCUUUUUUGAAGUCAAAGAAAAGUUGGGCAGCUUUUCAUGGUGCUAUUGUCGCUGAACUUUUCUAAUUUGCUGGUGAUUAGAAGACCUUCCACACUAUUUUAACUGUAGUAAUUAAUUCAACUUUCUCUGAGCCUCAAAUGAAUUGAACACUUGCAAGAGCAUUACGUGUUGGCUCACUGCUAAAGUUCUAGCAGUAUCAGUGUCAAGUGCCUGCUGUUUUGGACGAAAGUGAACCCAUUACUGUGGUGCUCAAUGUCAGACUGCUUGCUCAUUUGGAAACUGCAGUGGUUAAUAAAAUUAAGGCAAGACCGGUGACCUCUAUUUUUUUACAUUUUACAGUCCUGUACCUUUUCUCUGUGUCCAUGCUACUUUCUAUUUCGAACCAUUUUGCUGUCUUAGUAGACAUUUGGUGGAUGCAUCAUGCAUUGCCCUUGUCUGCUCAAUAUGAUCUUAUACUUUUCUUUUCCAGCUCUCCAAAAGAAUUCUGUUUGGUAUUAACCACAGUAUUUUUUAUUUUCUUUCUAAAGUGCGGACACGAUCUGGCCCCUCAGUACUGCAAAAGAAGCACCAUCCUCAGACAACAGCGCGACCUGUGACUGCACCGUGCCCUUAUUGCUUUGCCCAUCUGAGUGUCAAAUCCCUGUCAAGGCACAAGAAAGAAAUGCAUGCAAGCCAGAAAAAAGUGCACAAGUGCUCAAUGUGCGAUGCAAAGUUGACACGACUCGACAAUCUUCGUAGACACAUGAUGCUCCGUCACCGUGCCCAGAAGACUCACUGACACAAUUAAGAAUGUGACUGGCAGAGACCAUUCUCAUCCAGACAAAUAACCGCGACUUCGAAAUCCUUGCCUGGUGGUCACUUGUGUCUUGCUUCCAUGCCAGGCCUAAUUGAGUGUUAGCAGUGAUGCGAAGCAGCUGCAAUAAAAAACUAGCCUUGCAGCAAGAAAAGCACAUUGAAGGUUUUGAGCAUUAUACUGAAGUAUAUUGUGUGACUUACUUUUGUUCAGAAUCCAAGUGAAUACAUGCUUAAUUUCUAAUGCCAUUUUACAGUGUGCCCUAUUUCUGUUUAGAAAGCAAGACAAAAGAAAAAUUGGGUUUUUAUUUAUUUUUUAUUUUGUCAUGCUGUGUCUAUGAGAUCACUGCAUUUAACAUACAAGGAUAGCCAGUAUUUUAGUUGACAUUAAGAGAAAAAAAAGGAGACAUGGGCAGGCCACAUGCUCACUGGCACAUCUUUUUGUCAAAAUUAAUGAGUUGAUAUCACGUGUUAUAGCAACAAUGUGAAACACAUACCUUUUUAUGCCUUCUUUAUCUUUCAUUGUAUCUUAGAAGAUUUUCAGGCCGGGUUGUUUUUGACGGCUGAAAGCACCCAUUCCAUUCAUUAUAUACCAUAUUUAACUCGCUGUGAUGUGGUUAAUUAGGUUUCUUUGCAGCAUUCAUUACAUUGAUAAAAGACGACUGCAGGCAAAUUGAACCGUUGUAUGUCCUAAUAUUGCAACAACCUUGAGCAAUAGCUUAAAAGCCUAUUUAGUGUCACUGUGCCACAAAGUAUGACAGAUCUGUUUUGACAUUGUCAUACUACAUUAUAAAAAAAAGUUCACCACAAUUUAUUUUUAGAUUGAAUAAGUGAUGCUUAUAGGUGGCAUAUAGUGGAAACUGACAAUUCAUUGAAUUUUUAGAUAUUGAAGGCUAUCUUUUUUUAUCCGUGCCUAAAUUGUUUUUUUUUUUUUUUACUCAAUGGAACAGUUCCUUGACUCAAGGAGGACAAGGAGACAAUAACAUUCAUAAGUGUCCGGCUGUCCACUCCCCACCUAGACUGGGGGCAGUAGACCUUAGGCUUUGGCAGUGUCUUUGGCCAGGCAGAAGGCCCACAUCUGGCCCUCGGAAGCUGAACUGGAUAGCAUGAUCUCCCACUGUUCUUCGCCAUUUAAUGCAUGGCCUGACUGCAGACAGGCCCAUCUAAAUAUGUCGUGGGUUUGCCGAUUCAUUGCGUAAUCAGCAUCUGUUUAAGUAUUUUCCUGGGUAGUAAUGACAAUAUGCCACCUGGUUCAGAUAUGUGUUAGUUUGAAGGGGGUGCGAGACCCCUGCAAGAAAAAAAUUUGAGAGAAGCCCAUGGUACAGUGUAUAGAUUUAUCAGUUGUUGCACAUGAUAGAAUUAUUUGUGUCUACAAAACUGGCAAGCAGUAUCCACUGGAUGCCACCAUAUGUGGUGUGUUACCAACAGGCUUCAGUGCUCAUGACUGUGUUUGUGCAUUGUGACAGAAAGCUCUUUUUUUUUUACUGAAAGUUGAAGAUUUCAGACUUUUCAUGUCACUGCUGAGAGCUGGACUGCCCUCACUAAGCUGUCGGAGGUAGUGAAAAUGCUACUCAUAUUCAACCACUGUCAAAUAUUCAUAGAGAGAUGAAAAUCGGUGUGAACCAUUGCAUGUUUUAAAAGAUCUUUCAAGAAUGCGUGUCAUAUACUGCUGAGGAUUGUAUUUAGUAAACAGUGUGUUCAGCAUACUCGAGUGAGAAGCCUGUCAUCUGUCAGGUGCAAAUGCAAUGUGUGCAUGUAGUUCCAGAUAAAGGGGCUACAAAAUAAUUCUACAAAGUUAUAAACAUCCUGCAUUCGCUAGAGAUCAACAACAUGAAGUAGCAAGUUGAAGAGGGCUGAUACAUCUCAAAACUUGAUUGUAAUAAUAAUAAGCUUUGAGCUGAAAUUCUAUGUAGAUUAUAAGUGUGAUAUAUUUCAGGGAGAGCCUCUUUGAACAUAAUGUGCUAUGUAAAAGGCAGAAAACUGAAAAAAAAUGACAAAAAAAGCCAAAGCAAGUAGUUUCUGUGCAUCGACCAGAAAGUAAGAGAAAAGUAUAAUUGGCACCUAAUGCAUACUUAUGUUUAGUUCGUGUUGUAGAUAGUAACGUAAAAAAUAUAGUUCUCACUAUGUUUAGAAACUGGUACUUGCAGCAGAAUCUCAGUAUGUUUCAAGAAAACCUUAACAAGAUCUUGCAACAUACCUUAUUUUUUUUUUUCCCUGUUAUCCGCACAAAAAUUCAGGAAGCUGGAGUAUAUAGUUUGGUUAUAGUGAUUUUUUUUCUCUCUUUUUGGUACAGUUUACAGAGUACUGCACCAAGAUUCAGCUCAGGUCAGCCAUGAGGGCACCAAUGACUAUGCAUAUAAAAUUGUGUGUGGAGUUUCACACCGCCAACCAUUGCACGGGGUUAUUAGUACAAAAAUGUGGGCAUUCUUGUAAGCAGCUUUACAAAAGAUGACAGGCUUCUUUCUUUUUUUUUCUUCUCCUCUUUUUAUUCUUGUAGCGGGUGUGGCAUAUCUAUUUGUACAUGUGGAAAAGAGGUAUAUUGUGUUUCAUGGAAGACUGUGUUGGCACUGGGCUUCAUACGUUAUGGACAGGGUAGGCACAGCACUUAAUACUGGCUGUAACAAGUUUGUCAUGAACUGCCGUAAUGCACUGCAUGUACAAAAUAUAUUUGACGACUUAGCACGACACAUUUUGUCAUCCUUUUUUUGAAGUGCCUGCCUACAAGCCAUCAGACAUCACUGUUGAGUGGAUUUUCAGGAAUAAAAGUUAAGCACUGCAGGCUAUUAUUGCAUCAUUUUUAUCCUUAGAAUGUACACAGUUUAACACAGCCAUUCACCUUAAAGAUUAGUGUGGACUAUCAUAUUAAUGAAGCUUACUUU